GAUGAACGCUGGCGGCGUGCCUAAUACAUGCAAGUCGAGCGAACAGAUGAUGAGCUUGCUCCUCUGACGUUAGCGGCGGACGGGUGAGUAACACGUGGAUAACCUACCUAUAAGACUGGGAUAACUUCGGGAAACCGGAGCUAAUACCGGAGAAUAUAUUGAACCGCAUGGUUCAAUAGUGAAAGACGGUUUUGCUGUCACUUAUAGAUGGAUCCGCGCCGCAUUAGCUAGUUGGUAAGGUAACGGCUUACCAAGGCAACGAUGCGUAGCCGACCUGAGAGGGUGAUCGGCCACACUGGAACUGAGACACGGUCCAGACUCCUACGGGAGGCAGCAGUAGGGAAUCUUCCGCAAUGGGCGCAAGCCUGACGGAGCAAUGCCGCGUGAGUGAAGAAGGCCUUCGGAUCGUAAAACUCUGUUAUUAGGGAAGAACAACUGUGUAAUUAUCUAUGCACGUCUUGACGGUACCUAAACAGAAAGCACCGGCUAACUACGUG
rnacentral:rRNA from 1 species